GCACUGCUGAGGAGUCUCAUAAUGAGACGAAACGGCCGUUCAGUGC
rnacentral:hammerhead_ribozyme from 1 species